GAUGAAGAACGUAGCGAAAUGCGAUAAGUAAUGUGAAUUGCAGAAUUCAGUGAAUCAUCGAAUCUUUGAACGCACAUUGCGCCCUCUGGUAUUCCGGAGGGCAUGCCUGUUCGAGCGUCAUUUCGACCCUCAAGCAUUGCUUGGUGUUGGGGCACCGCCUGUAAAAGGGCGGGCCCUGAAAUCUAGUGGCGAGCUCGCCAGGACCCCGAGCGUAGUAAUUAUAUUUCGUUCUGGAAGGCCCUGGCGGUGCCCUGCCGUUAAACCCCCAACUUCUGAAAAUUUGACCUCGGAUCAGGUAGGAAUACCCGCUGAACUUAAGCAUAUCAAUAAGCGGAGGA
rnacentral:misc_RNA from 1 species